rnacentral:ncRNA from 1 species
CUUUAUGUGACUGACGGAAUCUUGUGGAGCACCACAGGGGAGCAUAAAGUUGAAAGGCCGACCGUCUGGGCAAUCU